rnacentral:rRNA from 1 species
UACAGAGGUCCCAAGCGUUGUUCGGAUUCACUGGGCGUAAAGGGUGCGUAGGUGGUUGGGUAAGUCUGAUGUGAAAUCUCCGGGCUCAACUCGGAAAUGGCAUUGGAUACUAUUCAGCUUGAGGAGUGGAGGGGGGACUGGAAUACUUGGUGUAGCAGUGAAAUGCGUAGAUAUCAAGUGGAACACCAGUGGCGAAGGCGAGUCCCUGGACACUUCCUGACACUGAGGCACGAAAGCUAGGGGAGCAAACAGG